rnacentral:snRNA from 1 species
GUGCUUGCUUUGGCAGUCCAUGUACUGACAUGGAAAUGAUACAGAGAAGAUUAUCAUGAUUCUACUCAAGGAUGACAUUCAAAUUUGUGAAGCAUUCCAUAUUUCU